rnacentral:rRNA from 1 species
UGCCAGCCGCCGCGGUAAUACGGAGGGUACAAGCGUUGUCCGGAUUUAUUGGGUUUAAAGGGUGCGCAGGCGGAGCGCUAAGUCAGUGGUGAAAUCCCGAGGCUCAACCUCGGAACUGCCUUUGAUACUGUCAGUCUAGAGUCUGUGAGAGGAUGACGGAAUACCCAGUGUAGAGGUGAAAUUCGUAGAUAUUGGGUAGAACACCGGUGGCGAAGGCGGUCAUCUGGCGCAGCACUGACGCUGAGGCGCGAAAGCGUGGGGAGCAAACAGGAUUAGAUA